AGUAAGCGUUGUUAACGAGUUCUUUCCAUAGUAAGUCAGUGUUAUAUGGAUGUCUUAACGUAUGUGUAACGUAUGUUACACAGAUGAGCUGGUAUCAGCGGAUUUAUGAAGAAAAUGAGAAAAUAAGGACUUUGAACGCCCAAGAAAAAAGUGGUUUAUAAGAAAAUGAUAUGUCCUUAACAAUACGAACUAAUUCGGAACAUCGACAUAAUUGGAUUCUUCGGAACAAAACGGCCCAAAUCCAAGUCGGACAGCACAUAACGGUAUUCACUCUCUUACACUGCGGUUCAUUACAUUGAGGCACGAACGACAACUCUGCUAGGAGAAUGAACGGUAUAAAGGAAUCGACAGUGAGAACAAUCACCAACCUAUAUUGGAGAACAGGGAUAAUGUGUACAUUUUAAGCAGAUGCAACAUGGUUGGAAUAUCAAGUCCACAAAACUAUGAAGUCAAGAAGACAUAGCACUGUAAACACUACCAAUAGCCUGUGGUAUGAUAAACAUUUUCUUCUGUUUUAACUAAACUUAAGUGAUUCUGAUUGUAUUGAUUCCGAUAUAGUGCUAAACUAA